rnacentral:rRNA from 1 species
GUUGUUCGGAAUUACUGGGCGUAAAGGGCUCGUAGGCGGCCCACUAAGUCAGACGUGAAAUCCCUCGGCUUAACCGGGGAACUGCGUCUGAUACUGGAUGGCUAGAGUUUGGGAGAGGGAUGCGGAAUUCCAGGUGUAGCGGUGAAAUGCGUAGAUAUCUGGAGGAACACCGGUGGCGAAGGCGGCAUCCUGGACCAACACUGACGCUGAGGAGCGAAAGCCAGGGGAGCAAACGGG